AUGUCCAUCUUUUAUGUUUUGUUUAUAUCAUUUUUUCCUCGAAUUUGUUCCAUUUGGUUCGCCGAAGAGCAUAUUAACAUCAUAACGCAGUCGGUUUAUUACUGUGGGAUGUUUAGCCACUGGGCCACGCCCACCCCACCCCACCCCCCCAACGCUUGGACACGCCCCCAAGCCGACUCUGCAGCCAAUCAGCGUCGCCCAGUCCUCCCAUUCCACAAUACUUGGUUCUAUGCAGACGUAUUGUUAUGCAAACUAGUUCGUCUAAAAUAUCCCCCUGGCAACGCAGCUCUGGGCAGAGAAUCACCGGGACCGCGCGACGGACAAACAACAGCGGCCAAGCGGCAGUUUUUGAGUCACUUCUUCCCGUCCAAACGUCAAGAUUACCCCUUGCCAAAUAAAGCACCGCGGGACGCGAGAGACACAUUUCCUGAGGUAAACUAGCGUUACCUCAGACGUCUCUAAAAGCUAACGGCCCUCGAUGCGCUUAAUCGGAGAUACACGCCUGCUUUCCCACACUUAAUAACUCCAUAUUCUGCCAUAACCUGGUGCUGCUACUGAGAGACACUCACACACACGGAGAAUUACACUUUUGUGGAUGAUUGUACUUUCUCGCUAGGUCUUUGGAUAUAUAGCGACCGACUGCAUUUGCACACCAAGUGUGUCGUUUACUUGUCCUUUUUGGGAUAUACGCUCGUUUUAUUUCUAGUCUCACUCGUCUAAGCUGGUUUUAGUCCAGUCAAGCCGCGACUAUCCCAGUACUAUAAAGGCUGCGGAGAGCAUCAUGAGCCAGGCGGAGAUAUCGACGUGCUCGGCGCCGCAGAGAGUCUUCCAGGAGGCGGUGAAGAAAGGCAACACGAAGGAGCUCCAUUCGCUGCUGCAGAACAUGACCAACUGCGAGUUUAACGUUAAUUCGUUUGGCCCCGAGGGACAGACAGCGCUGCAUCAGUCGGUGAUCGACGGGAAUCUGGAGCUCGUUAAACUGCUGGUGAAGUUCGGAGCCGAUAUACGGCUGGCGAACCGGGAGGGCUGGAGCGCGUUGCACAUCGCCGCUUUCGGAGGACACCAAGACAUCGUGUUAUACCUCAUCACCAAGGCCAAGUACUCCUCCGGCGCGCGGUGAUCCGGUAGAAGCACGCGUUUCAUUCUAGCGUUGUGAUCUGCCAAGCUCGAGUUCCCUUGUACCUUAAAACCAAAUGAGGGCUGUAGCCUUUUUCUUUCCCGUGUCAGAUCUGGCGAUGAGAGGAACUGAAACGCAUGCUGUUGGGGAUGUGCGUUGGUACUAUAGCUUUUUUUUGAAUGUGUAAGUCAUCAGAUCUGGACUGUGUGGCUUAACCAGGGCUUGACCUGUUGACCUGUCCACCUGGAGAAAUCGAGAUAGCACUUGAUGCUGUGGCUGAAUGCUGGAAUAGUUGCAAGAGGUGUGUGAAGGCCAUCCUCUGUUUUGGCUAAACACUCUUUUAACACGAACCAUAAGUCGUUUCAUCAAUCAAAUCGUGUGGCAUUGGUGACCAGUGCUGAAUUAUGUCCUCGAAAUAACAAGUGACUCAUUCCUAAGUACUGUACACAUAGCUUUACUGUGUUUUUUCUCUGUACAAGUAGUCUAUUGCGCUCUGCCUUCACCUAGCAGACGGCUUCCAUACAGCUUUCAGGCCAGUGCAACCCAUGUCUAUGGUUAACAUGUUACUAAAAACCGCUGCUUUUGCCUUUUUUGUAUCAAAACAUCAGGAAAGUCGCCUUUGGGACACACUUUAUAAUCUUCUUUCAGUAUUUUGAAUUAACACCCUGGUCAUCACUGUGAAUACAGGCUGGGUUUGUCUUUUUAUUUAUGAAGGUACAUUGAGAUAAUGCAUUUAAAUUAUGUUGUGGUUAUUUUUAAGACUAUAGCCUAAGUGUAAAAGUAUGUAGGGUGACCUAAAGCUGCUUCGGACUCGUUACAGGCUAAACUGUCCCGUGUGGAGAUUCCGCGCCACGGCCCCCCACGUGCACACCUUUUUUUCCCGGGAAAAAUGCAUCCCCUUCUACUUUUUAUCCUGGUUCUCUGCAUCAGCUACCUCGACUUGAAAGUAUUCGAAUAUCAUGUGCUCUCUUUCUCAAGCCUUCUCCUUAACUGUGCUCAGUUACCCACUAGUGCUCGUUUUCUGGUCAACAGAAUCAGUAGGCUCUGUCCGGGUCGUUUUACUUGAUGUUUUCUUACUGUCAUCCUCGUUUUUUGUUUUACAAUCUUCACUCGGGACAAUUUAUCUCCUUGAACCAAAAUUAAGAUCCAUUGGUUAUUAAAAAAAAAACAAAAUUUUUUUCUUUCGCCAAGCGUGGUUGAGACAUUAUAUAUGUAGGUUUUAUUUCAGCCGAUUGCUUCAUUUUUGCAUUGUCAUUUUUGGUUUCUGUUGUAGUUACAAAAAGUGAAAUGCAUUGCAUGACUAUUAAAAUGCAGGGAGUUUUGUUGCACAUAAAUGUGGAGCCUUUUACGCCCCCUAGUGCCUGGUCGGGUAACUGCAGGAGCUGAGGCUUACCAAUAGUUACUACUGAGCAGGACUACAUGAACAUUGAGAAGAAGACUAUGACUUCUGUUGCAGGAAACAUCGACAGAUUUGUUCAAAAAAGACUGCCUGCCGCCUUUAAGAGUCAUGGCACCUGAUGUUUGUUUCAAUGCUGCUUCUAUGUAAUUUUUUUUUCUUGAUACAAUGGCCAACGGUGAGUGAAUGAGGACAAGUAUCAGUUAGAUAUAUCAUUUUUUUUGUCGUUGUUUUUGCGAGAAGCCCCAUGCAGUUGUGUGAGCAUGUGUGUUUGCACUCGUGUCUUGCCACAGUCCAGUGGCGUUGCUGAUGUUUCCAGCCCCCCGUCGCUCAACCUGGUUAACCAACCGGGAACUCCUCGUACACCUGGAGAUGCAACCGAUGUGAUUCUCACGAUCAUCUAUUCGAUUGGUAGGCAGAACAAAUAUGCAUCGCUUGUCUUAAACUUGAUAUUUUUACUCUUGUUGAAAAUAUUGCACUGAUGACUGUUGUUAAUUCGUUGACUUAAGGUCAACAUUUUAUUUUUUUCUAAAUAGAAAAAAGGAACACAACAAAAUACUAUUGUAUAAAAAAAAAAGCUCCAGGUUAUAUUGUCUUUGUUUGUGCAUUACAUUGUAUAACAUUACGUUUGCAAAGAUGUUUGUAUCUCUGUGAUCGGGUGUAUGUGUAUACAUAUAUAGUAUAUAUAUAUGGAUAUAUAGACUCUGAUAUCUCAGAGCACUUUCUUAUUUGAAGUGCUCUCCUCCUGAUGUUAAUAAAGGGGAAUAAUACUUGUGAUGGUAAGAUCAUUGUAACAAAAAUAAAUUGCACGAUGUAUAGUUGUUUUACCCCACCAUUUGUCAUAACAUUUAUGACAUGGGGGUUAAAUGACUGGAUAGGUGUAUAUGAAUGAGUAAAAGUGCUGUAUUUUUUUUUUCUUUUUUUGUUUUUGUGGACCAAGUUAUUUUUCAUCUUGUGUCUCCAGCUAGUUAUGCGAAUGUUCUUUUGUGUUGACUUCAGCUUUUCUUUUUCUUUUUUUCUGUUUGUGUGUGCGUUUUGUUUUGUUUGUAAUUUUUUGAACAUUUGUAACACUGUGAUUCAUGUGCGGUGAGAAUAUGAGUGCUGUAAUAUUUUUAUGUAUGUAUGUGUUCAAGCCAGUAAAAGAAAUAAUUAAACCUUCAAUGUGUGGCUGUGAACGUUUCUUUCUAUCCCAGAGGAAGAAUUUGGGCCUCCUCUCUGGGCCAACCUGACCCCAGUUUCCAUUCUCUCCUUUUUGUCAUUCAUUUGGCCUAGUCCUUUCAUAUGCUGGAUAAAGGAGUGCAGGGGGUUGUGGGUAAUUUUGUUUUAAAGACAGAUCCCCUCCCUGUGUGUUUGUGUGGGUUUUAUGUUACAACUCUGUGCAUGGAGCAGCUCUCUGCCCUUCUGUUCUGAGGGAGACUCGAAGCAUUUCUUCAUUUAAAAAAACACAUCCGAGCACUUUAUUCCUCAUCUUCUGAUUCCAUUCCACCUCCGUUUCUAUUGGAUGCCAACUCUGAAACAUUGGCAGAUAUACAUGAGAAAUCAAGUCACAUUUGCUUUCAUGAAACAAGAGUUGUACCUCGGUGAAAAUUCAGUGCUGCAUUUCAGUUCCUGCUCUGAUUUAUUGGUGGAAUGUCCAGAGUGUUCGUUCUUAAAUUUCACAAAUGAGCCAAAAACUUUGUCCGACAUUGUCCAGAGGCCACCUUUAUUGCAACCGUAAUCCGAACCAAGCAAGUGCUUGUUGUUUUCUGCUGGUAGACAAGAGUUUACGGCAUGCUUUUGAAGACAAACCUCACUAGAAGACUGUGACCUCAAUGGCAUCCUUCUCUGUUUCCACCCCCCUCCAUCCCCCGGGCAGGAUGUUAUUGUUGAGCUGGAUUUCCAUUGUCCGGCGGCUGAGUUGGCCACCUUCCCAGAGUGCAAUAGAGAGGCCCCCUAAUAGAUUCUUCAUGUGCCUCAGUCCCGACACACAUCAUUGCAGGAAUUUGGAAAUGAUUUUAACAGAGUCCCGUUGCUCUGUGCACUAACCUUCCCCCACCGCCUGCUAGAGAGGGAGGGACGCGUAAACCCAACAAUGUGAAAAAGAAUUUUGUGAAUGUACUUGAGAUCGAGAAGGAAACCCGCUCCUCUUCUAGCUCUGAGAAUGUGAAGUGGAGGCUUGGAGGUUUGUCCUCUUUUGUUUGUAGUUCGGUGCGCUGGAAUGUUUGUUUUCUCAUACCUUCAGUAUACCAGAGAUUAAAAACGACCUCUUUGCACGGACAGAUUCUUGUCAGCAGUUUUGCAUACAUGUGCAUGUAGUUCCAAAAAGGCCCCACAACAUUGCUCGCCCUGGUGCAAGUAAACACAUGCAGAGAAAAAUGCGUUUGCAGCCAUGAAAAUUGUUGCAGAUUCUCAGAAGGAGAGGAACAUUAUAGCCAGAAGGGAAUGAAGAUGAAUUAUUGUUGUAAUGGCUUAGUCAUGACCACAACUCUUACCAGGAAAAGUUCCUUUCAAACACAGUAUAAUCCAAUAAAUGCACUCAUCUGCUGCUGGCAAAUGAACUGUAGCGUUCAAG
rnacentral:lncRNA from 12 species